GAUGAACGCUGGCGGCGUGCCUAAUACAUGCAAGUCGAGCGAACAGACGAGGAGCUUGCUCCUCUGACGUUAGCGGCGGACGGGUGAGUAACACGUGGAUAACCUACCUAUAAGACUGGGAUAACUUCGGGAAACCGGAGCUAAUACCGGAUAAUAUAUUGAACCGCAUGGUUCAAUAGUGAAAGACGGUUUUGCUGUCACUUAUAGAUGGAUCCGCGCCGCAUUAGCUAGUUGGUAAGGUAACGGCUUACCAAGGCGACGAUGCGUAGGCGACCUGAGAGGGUGAUAGCCCACACUGGAACUGAGCCACGGUCCAGACGCCUACGGGAGGCAGCAGUAGGGAAUCUUCCGCAAUGGGCGAAAGCCUGACGGAGCAACGCCGCGUGAGUGAUGAAGGUCUUCGGAUCGUAAAACUCUGUUAUUAGGGAAGAACAAAUGUGUAAGUAACUAUGCACGUCUUGACGGUACCUAAUCAGAAAGCCACGGCUAACUACGUG
rnacentral:rRNA from 1 species